rnacentral:rRNA from 1 species
AUUGAACGCUGGCGGCAGGCCUAACACAUGCAAGUCGAGCGGAUGACGGGAGCUUGCUCCUUGAUUCAGCGGCGGACGGGUGAGUAAUGCCUAGGAAUCUGCCUGGUAGUGGGGGACAACGUUUCGAAAGGAACGCUAAUACCGCAUACGUCCUACGGGAGAAAGCAGGGGACCUUCGGGCCUUGCGCUAUCAGAUGAGCCUAGGUCGGAUUAGCUAGUUGGUGAGGUAAUGGCUCACCAAGGCGACGAUCCGUAACUGGUCUGAGAGGAUGAUCAGUCACGAUGGAACUGAGACAGGGUCCAGACUCCUACGGGAGGCAGCAGUGGGGAAUAUUGGACAAUGGGCGAAAGCCUGAUCCAGCCAUGCCGCGUGUGUGAAGAAGGUCUUCGGAUUGUAAAGCACUUUAAGUUGGGAGGAAGGGCAGUAAGUUAAUACCUUGCUGUUUUGACGUUACCGACAGAAUAAGCACCGGCUAACUCUGUGCCAGCCGCCGCCGUAAGAC